GUGCCAGCAGCCGCGGUAAUACGUAGGGUGCGAGCGUUAAUCGGAAUUACUGGGCGUAAAGCGUGCGCAGGCGGUGGCUCAAGCCAGGCGUGAAAUCCCCGGGCUUAACCUGGGAAUGGCGUUUGGGACUGGGUCGCUAGAGUGUGGCAGAGGGAGGUGGAAUUCCACGUGUAGCAGUGAAAUGCGUAGAGAUGUGGAGGAACACCGAUGGCGAAGGCAGCCUCCUGGGCCAGCACUGACGCUCAUGCACGAAAGCGUGGGGAGCAAACAGGAUUAGAUACCCUGGUAGUCC
rnacentral:rRNA from 1 species